UUUGAAGGCUUUACAGCAUUUGCAUUAUUCAAUACUGUGCACUAUCAACGUAGACCAUAAGAAGACAACAGGUUAUAUGAGAGGUGGCUAUUGUUCAGGGACACAGAAGCUGCUGUCCACAGGGAAUGACCCAAAUCUAUGUCCAUUUACAUUCAGCGGCUCACUUGGUUCCAUAUCCUGAUAAGAGCUGUGUCUCUGAUUGUAUUCCAGUCGACAGCAGGACUGUCCCUUUUCCUUUUCAGAGCCGGACCCUCCCCUCAUUACGCACCCCCUCCUAGUCUUUCCUCUCUUUCUCUCUCCCUCAUUCCCUGAGCCCAUUCCUCACAUUCCUGCUUCCUCGCGCUUCAAGCUGCGCCGUCAGAGCUGGCGAAAUACUGCGCUAAUUCGGUCCACAUUCUGCCCUUAAAUGAGACACCACGACUGACCGACUGCCUCAGCUCUUCUCUUGUAAGAGGACUGGUCAGCGAUCCCCUCUGAUCAGGUGGAGUCCUCUGCCCCCACUUUGUGGACCACCCCUCCAUCAGAGGUCUCCUGAAACCCCCCC